UAUUUGGGUUUCAUAUGCAUUACCCAUAAUAUGGGUAAAAUAUACCUUUGAAAAACGGUCAAAUUUGCCCAUAUUAUAGGUAAAAUCGCUAUACCCAAACAUGGGUAAAUGAACUUACCCAUAUUUGGAUGAAAAUUUUCAAGUUAGCAACUUUUCUCGGAAUGCAUUAGUGCGCCAUCAUAACCAGGGAGGGUGCAGGCACGUCAAACUCGAACAAACUACGCCUACCUAACAUGCAUCGAGCGGGCCUUCCCAAACAACACAAUGCGAUUUCGCGGGCCACCCCCAUCGACAAAACAAACCGAUUUCCAAGCAGGAUUCGACUAGACUUCUGGUCGCGUUGCCAGUCACACUAACACACUCGCAAAAGAUGAGCAGUAGGCCUACCUUGCCGCAUGCGGAUCCCCUGAUCAUAACACUAUCGGGAAAUUUUAGAUAUUUUGAUUUUCACGGCACCGCUAUAGCCAGUCGAGGCCCUUCAGCAUCGGGUUCAAUGACCGAUACCGCGUCCAUCGGAUUCCCACGCGGAUUAGAGUCGAGGUUCCCAAAUACAUUGAUAUUUUAAUCGGUUUGGUACUCGAAGAUAAUACAGGAGCAACAAAUCAUCAUGUGGAGCUACAAGAAAGGCUACAAAAGCAUGGAAUUUGCAGUUCCGACUGCACCAAGGCUUCAAGCGCCGGAAGAACGAGGAACGGAAGAACAGGAACAACUGCGCGAUGAACAACAGCCGGAGGGGAAAAUUUCAUACAUGGAUCAUUAUGAAAACUUCAAAGAGCUACGUCUCGGAAGGUCUGUUUUCCAGGAGGAAAAUGAUUAAGAGUAUUUGAAACAUGUAAAAAUUCAUUAAUAAUUUUCGUAGAUUGCAAUAAACUACAAAAUAAACGCAAAAUUUUGUAUGAA